AGCACCGAACAGCCAAGGUGGCAAACGUAAUAUGGUGACCGCCAACAUGGUGUCUGCAGGGGUUUCCAUUUUACUGUGAUUUUCACUACUUAAAUGAGUAGACAUACUGUUUACUGUAAUUUCCGGCCUAUAAGCCGCAACUUUUUUCCACACGCUUUCAACCCUGCGGCUAUUUUGUGCAUUUUUUUCCAACGCCUGCAAGGGGGGACUCGAGCAGAAAAGAACCUGCUGGCGAUUGAUUGAUUCAGGCAGUAAUGGACGCACUGAGGAUUGCGAUCAGAGAAUGACGUAAAUGAACAGAGCCAUGAUGGCAGCGCUGAUGAGACCUGCGACGGGAACGGCGCGGACAGACGACAAAGCGAACCAGCAACGCUGUGACGACAGCACAUCCUACCGCGAUGCACAGCGUGCCCCACCACGGCAUCCUGUCAAACCCCAACACUAGGAGCAAAUGAGAAAAAAAAAGAGGCACGUUUCCAUCUUCAAUCAUGAAAUCUUUGUAUACCGUAAAGCCUCGGUUCUCGAACAUCCCCGUUUUCUUAGGAAAAAUUCGAGAUUUUUUUGCUUCUGUUUUCGAACGAAAAUCAGUACUCGAACGUCCCCGUAUUGCGCGCGGCCAGACCAGCUGACCCAGACGCACUUUUUUGUGAAUUUCCAUGCCGCUGAAAAAACCCAGAAAUAACAUAACGCGCACGGUGCAACCAGUUGACCCUCCCACGACGCGUGUUGUUAUUGUCUAUUCGAACGGCCCCCGAAAAUACCCGGAAAUAACAUCGUGUGCGGCGCAAGCAGUUGACCCACCCACGACGCGUUUUGUUAUUGUCAAUUCGAACGCCCCCCGAAAAAAAGAAAAGAAAUGGAAAUGACAUAACGGGUGCGGCGCAACCAGCGCACUUUUGUUUUUCUGUAUAACGCAGCCUCUGUACGCAGAUGUGUCCCGGUAGUGACUGUUGUUUUUCUUCUUAUGGAGAACUACCGCAUUAACCCCCAGACAUGGCUCCAAAGAAGGCAAGU